CUUUUACGACAGUUUUCCGGCCUAGUUUGCGGCUGCCCCUGACGUGUUGCGUAGGGCGCCUGUGCUUGGGUGGUUUGUGCUUGAGGUUGAGGGUUGCGUCGCUCUCUGGUAAAGGCGUGCAGGUGUUGGCCGCGGCCUCUGAGCUGGGAUGAGCCGUGCUCCCGGUGGAAGCAAGGGAGCCCAGCCGGAGCCAUGGCCAGUACAGUGGUAGCAGUUGGACUGACCAUUGCUGCUGCAGGAUUUGCAGGCCGUUACGUUUUGCAAGCCAUGAAGCAUAUGGAGCCUCAAGUAAAACAAGUUUUUCAAAGCCUACCAAAAUCUGCCUUCAGUGGUGGCUAUUAUAGAGGUGGGUUUGAACCCAAAAUGACAAAACGGGAAGCAGCAUUAAUACUAGGUGUAAGCCCUACUGCCAAUAAAGGGAAAAUAAGAGAUGCUCAUCGACGAAUUAUGCUUUUAAAUCAUCCUGACAAAGGUAAGUAGUCAUUAAAUUCUCGUUGAUGUUGUUGGUGUGACUAAUAGUUUAUUAAUGGGAUAAUUUUAUCUCAAAUUCCUGGCUAUUAGAAGGGAAACACUUAAAUCUGUGUGUAAGUCCUGUCUCCUAGGCUGGAGCCAUAUAUUUUUGGUGUCUUAAAAGAAACUGAGUGAAAACUUUACUUACAGAAUGAGCAGAUAUACCUUGAAACGGAGAUUACCUAGAUAGAAACUUAUGGGAUUUAUUUAUUCGUUUCUGAUACACUUCUAUGCAGCUUUGGCUGGCUGUGUUGAAGGAAAGCAAGAAUUUCUUUGAAUACCAAAAAAUAGACCAUAGAAUUCAUGUUCUAGUGUUUGUAUCCUUUUACUUAACAGGAGAGGGCUUUCAUUAAUAAAAAGGGUUUUGACAUUUUAAACAGGGUUAUAAUUGUUUGAUAUCUACUUCACAGUAUCUUUUAUGAAAUUUAGCUUGUAUUAUAUGGAGGGCUUCUGAUUCAGUAGGUCGGCAGUGGAGCCCCAUAAAUACGCAUUUAUACUCAAUUUCCUGUUAUUUCUUGCUGGUCUUAGGACCAUACUUUGAGAAUCACUCCUCCAGCAGAUUCAUAGGAAAGCAGCUGUAGAUGACAUUGUGAAGGGACAGUAGAUAAUAGGAAAAGAAAAACUGGACAGAAAAAGGAUGUAAAGCAAACUGGGAUCUUUCCAGUAAACAGCUCAGAAGCCUCUGAGAAUAUCACAGUAUUAAAAUAACAUGGUAUAAUUGAUGUUCAUUUAUGACCUGUAAUCAUGAAUAGGCUAACACCAGUUCAAAGGCAUAUAUAUAUAUGUAUCUAAUAUAUAUGAUAGAAAUCCUAUUUCUAUCAGUUUAAGCUUUCUAAAAAGGUGUUAUUUUUGUAGGAAUCUCUCCCACGUAAAUUACUUCAUUUCUCAUUGGUCACAUAUAUUACCAUAUAUCUGGUCAUCCAGUUGCAGUGUCAGGGUUAUUUUUUAAAAAAUAAAACACUGUUUCUGCUAAAUCUCCCUCAGAUAAGCAUUGGAGUCAUUGAAACAAGAGUAGCUUUUUACCAAGCAGAAAUUGAGAAUCCAUAUUGUAACUGUUCUUUUUUCUUUCUUCCUAUAGGAGGAUCUCCUUAUAUAGCAGCCAAAAUCAAUGAAGCUAAAGAUUUACUAGAAGGUCAAGCUAAAAAAUGAAGUAAAUGUGUGAUGAAUUUUAAGUUCAUAUUAGUUUAUGUAUAUGAGUACUAAGUUUUUAUAAUAAAAUGCCUCAGAGCUACAAUUUUAAAAA